AUUGAACGCUGGCGGCAUGCCUAACACAUGCAAGUCGAACGGCAGCACGGUCUAGCUUGCUAGACGGGUGGCGAGUGGCGAACGGGUGAGUAACGCGUAGGAAUAUACCUUGAAGUGGGGGACAACCUGGGGAAAAUCAGGCUAAUACCGCGUAAUCUCUUCGGAGGGAAGCUGGGGACCGCAAGGCCUGGCGCUUUAAUAUUAGCCUGCGUCCGAUUAGCUAGUUGGUGGGGUAAGGGCCUACCAAGGCGACGCUCGGUAGCUGGUCUGAGAGGAUGAUCAGCCACACUGGGACUGAGACACGGCCCAGACUCCUACGGGAGGCAGCAGUGGGGAAUAUUGGGCAAUGGGGGCAACCCUGAUCCAGCAAUGCCGCGUGUGUGAAGAAGGCCUGAGGGUUGUAAAGCACUUUCGGCGGGGAGGAGGGCAGAUUGGUUAAGAGCUGAUUUGUUGGACGUUACCCGCAUAAGAAGCACCGGCUAACUCCGUGCCAGCAGCCGCCGUAAUAC
rnacentral:rRNA from 1 species